AGUGAACGCUGGCGGUAGGCCUAACACAUGCAAGUCGAACGGCAGCACAGUAAGAGCUUGCUCUUACGGGUGGCGAGUGGCGGACGGGUGAGGAAUACAUCGGAAUCUACUUUUUCGUGGGGGAUAACGUAGGGGAACUUACGCUAAUACCGCAUACGACCUACGGGUGAAAGCAGGGGAUCUUCGGACCUUGCGCGAUUGAAUGAGCCGAUGUCGGAUUAGCUAGUUGGCGGGGUAAAGGCCCACCAAGGCGACGAUCCGUAGCUGGUCUGAGAGGAUGAUCAUCCUCACUGGAACUGAGACACGGUCCAGACUCCUACGGGAGGCAGCGGUGGGGAAUAUUGGACAAAGGGCGCAAGCCUGAUCCAGCCAUACCGCGUGGGUGAAGAAGGCCUUCGGGUUGUAAAGCCCUUUUGUUGGGAAAGAAAAGCAGCAGGUUAAUACCCCGCUGUUCUGACGGUACCCAAAGAAUAAGCACCGGCUAACUUCGUG
rnacentral:rRNA from 1 species